UAGGUCUUCGAACGGAAAUGAGCGUCCAGUAUGAAGAGCUAAAAAAGAAUAACCUGAAUCAGGAAAACAGCUAUGACGUUAUCAAUUCACAAAAUAAGAACAGAACAUCCGGGUAAGUGGUUGCUCUCAU